UUCACAUCACAUACGACAACUCAUGAUCCAGCUACAAGUUUCACAUCACAUACGACAACUUAUGAUCCAGCUACAAGUUUCACAUCACAUACGACAACUAUGAUCCAGCUACAAGUUUCACAUCACAUACGAUAACUCAUAAUCCAACUACACGUUUCACAUCACAUACGACAACUCAUAAUCCAACUACAAGUUUCACAUCACAUAUGACAACUCAUGAUCCAACUACAAGUUUCACAUCAAAUACGUUAACGGUUAAGGUUGUCGACGUAAGUUCUAGUAGGUAGGUAUCAAGUCUAAAUCCAAUUACAGAAUAACAUGUGAUUCAAUCCAUUUUACAGAGAAGCCUUGGACAAUCUGGAGUCUAAGAUGGAAGAGAUGGAAAAAAACAAUAAAAACAAUGCAAUGAUUGUCAUGGGGGAUGUUAUUGGUCUUGUUCAUGUACAAGCCAAGAACACAGAAACCGAAGAGAUCAACAUAUGCUACUCUUCAGAACAUGUUAUGGCUGUUGAGAGUCAAAAUUUCAUGAAUACAAACUGUUCCUGGUAUACAAAGAUUUCCAAGGAGGCUUUUAAACACUAUUGCUAAUAUCUGAUUCUUGCUAACAAACAACAAAUGGUAUUAAAAAUCCUCCCACUAAUCUGUUUCAUUCUGUUUUCUCUGAUCCUUCAGUCUCUGCCAGAUGUAAAAGUCAAAGCUCCGCAUCUGGAAUCACUAACUUAUAUUUCUUUUAUCGGCUGCGGCAUCUCCAUGUUUUUUCUGGCCGUCGCUUUAUUCAUACACUUCCUGCUACGGUAGAAUAUCUUAAAGUUUAUCAUACAGUUAGUGCUGUUUAGUAAUCAAUAUUGAUUAUUAUUACAUCAAUGAACAAUUUUACUCAGAAAUUGCUGAUAAAUUUCACAAACAAUUAAAAAGAAACAGCAUGUAACACAUUGAAUUAAACUUGUAAUUUUAAAGUAGAAAUACUGAAACAGUAUUUUCAUGUAAAACAUGCUUCAAGUGAUGAGAUCAAACCUCUAAUGUAUUAAAGUUCAGGUUACAAAAGCAGUUUUUUGUAUGUUUUAAUAGGAAAGCGAAAUCAAAUCAGGCCACGAAGAUCCUGAUGAACAUGUUUGUGGCUUUGUCUCUACUGAAUGUCUCGUUUUUGUCAAACGAGAGCGUCGCUAACACAGGAGACAACGCUGCGUGCGUCUUCAUAGCGCUGCUCCUGCAUUACUCCAUGCUGGCCUCAUUCACCUGGUUCUUCAUUCAAGCUCUUCAUAUGUACUUAUGGCUCAUCAGACAGAACGUCUCCAUCACAACUACAUGAGGAGAUCACCGUGUUGGGCUCAUAUGUACUUAUGGCUCAUCAGACAGAACGUCUCCAUCACAAACUACAUGAGGAAGAUCACCGUGUUGGGCUGGGGUGAGUUUACACUCUCAGAAAAAUGGCAUAAUUAAAUACAUUAUUUAAUAAAUUACUGGGGCAGUACUCUUUCAAAAGGUAACAAUAUAUCAAAUUUGGGUACUAAUAUGCAUCCUUUAUGGGUGAAUAAGUUAACAAAAGUAUUCUUUUUGAAAGGGUACCAUCCAGGUGACAGCUUUUGUACCUUUGUGUAGGAAACGGUUUCAAACCAUCUAGUCCAAUUAUAAGUUGGACCCCAUCCCAUCUCCCCAUACAUAUCAGUUCUAGCAUUGCUAACUUUCCAUCACAGCCUCUUCAUCAUCAAACUAAAUGAGACAACUAAACAUACAAACGUUACUUGGCUACUCAGUUUAACUUGUUUGUAGUAUAAUGCUAGGUUGUGCUGGUCAGUGUAAGUAUCGCUAUGCAUGCCGUGUAGCCUAUUUUUUAUUUAAUUUUUUUUUUUUUUUUUUUUGCAUAUGUGAAGGAUGCUGUCUUCUAAUUUCUAUUUUAAAUUUAAGUUUGUUUUAAAGUUACUUGGUCCUCCCCUUUUUGCUCUCUGGCUCCAAAAAGUUUGAAAACCCCUGCUUUAAGAGCAUCUGAACAGUAAUUUUAGUAUCAUUGAGAUACUGUUAGUUUUUAUUAAUAUUUAGAAUUUAUAUUUUGUUUUAAUUUUUAUAAAGUUUUAGUAAUCUUUUGGUAAGCUUUACUAUUUUUAUAUACAUAUUUUUUUUAUUAUUAUUACUAUUACUUGUAAAU
rnacentral:lncRNA from 1 species